CCCACUGAAUUUAAGCAUGUUAGUCAGCAGAAGAAAAGAAACUAACCAGGAUUCCCUCAUUAACGGUGAGUGAACAGGGAAGAGCUCAUGCAGCACUCCCUGGUGCUGCUCAUGGGGGUUCCAAGUCCUUCUGUUCAAAGCUCAGCCCACGGAUAUUGUGAGGCUGGUAGCACCCCCCCCCCCCCCCCCGAGUGCCAGGUCCGGGUCUUCCCGGAGUGGGUUGCUUGGGAAUGCAGCCCAAAGCAAGCUUGGUCAGCAUUUCCCCCUACACCCCCAUCUGUCCAUUAUUAUACCUUCUAUUUCUACUUCUUGAAAUAUCUUUUACUCCUACCUAGACCAUUACAAUGCUGCUAGCCAAUGACUAGGAUUUCUUAUUUGCUAGCUCUGUCUUAAGUAUCAACCAUAACCAUUAA
rnacentral:ncRNA from 1 species